rnacentral:rRNA from 1 species
CACGUAGGAACCGAGCGUUAUCCGAAUUUACUGGGCGUAAAGCGCGUGUAGGUGGCUCGAUAAGUUGGGUGUGAAAGCUCCUGGCUCAACUGGGAGAGGCCGCUCAAUACUGUCGGGCUUGAGUACGGUAGAGGGAGGUGGAAUUCCCGGUGUAGUGGUGAAAUGCGUAGAUAUCGGGAGGAACACCAGUGGCGAAGGCGGCCUCCGGGGCCGUUUCUGACCCUGAGACGCGAAAGCUAGGGGAGCGAACGGG